UAUAUAAGUGAGUUCAAAACUAGCCUCCACUACAUAGUGAGAGCCUGUCUCAAGAAAAAAAACAAAAACUUAUAAACCAGGCUAAAAAUAGUCAGCUAAAUAUCCAAUUUGAAUAAGAAAAUCCACAUUAGGAUAAAUAAAGUCAGUAUUAACAAAAUAGAAAAUGUAAUACAAUAGUACCUAUUUUUUCUUUUUUUGGUACCAGGAAUCAAACUCAGGAGCUUGCGCUUGCCAGGCACACAUCUGUGCCACUGAGCUAUAUCCCCAGCCCUACAGUUCCUCUUAUCCACAGGAAAUACAUUCCAAGACUCAUAAGGGAUGCCUAAAGCCACAGGUAGUACUAAAGUUUAUAUACUCUGUUGUUUCCUAAACAUACAUACCUAUAGUGAACUUUAAUUUAUAAAUCAGACACAGUAAGAGAUUAACAAUGACUAAUAUUAAAAUAGGACAAUUAUUUCAAUAUACUGUAAUAAAAGCUUUCUAAGACCAUAUUGUCAAUCAUUUAUUUAUGGAAUUUUCCAUUUAGUAUUUUCAGACAGUGAAUUACAGUGGGUAACUGGCACCAUGGAAAGCAAAAACUAUGGAUUUAAGGGAGUACUACUAUAAAGAGGACAAAGAAAGCUGAAGUUGUUUCCUCAAAAAACUAAAAAUUGACACACUUUUGGCAUUAUCGAUCAGGAAAAAAAAGGGAAAGAUGAAUAAGCAAAAAAAAGUUUGGAGUAAAAGGAGGAUAUAAAAACAUGCUAGACACAUUUUAAAAUGAAGAUAUUAUAAACAACUCUGACAAUAAGUUUGGAAACCUAAAAUGGAUAAAUUCUUAGAAAAAUAUAACAAAAUGAGUAAAAAUAUAGAAAAAUCUUAAUAGUAUUACAACCAUUUUUUAAAAAAACUUAAAUUAGUUACAAAUUCCACAUACAUAUACACAAAACUCCAGACAUAGAUGAUAAAGAAGUAACUUCAAUCUUACAGAAACUAUUCAAAGGGCAGAAAAAGUAAUAUUCCCAGACUCAUUUUUUGAGGCUAGCAAAACUGAUCAUCAAAACCUGACAAGGACAAUAUGAGAAAGGAAAAUUACAAACUAGUGUCAAUCAUAAUGCUAUAAUUCAAAAUAAAAUAUAAAUCUAACAAUAUGCAAAACUGAUCAUUAUAUUACAGAAAUACAAGAUUUGUUUACCCUGAGCAAAACUAGCCAAUGUAAUUAACAAACUAAAGGUAAACACUAUAUGGUCAUCUCAGUGGACCACCAUUUUGUUCAUCUCAAAGGACACACUUUAGGCAAAAUUCAACAUAUAUCCAUGAUAUUAAAGAAAAAAUUAGAACUAGGUAUGGAAGGAAACUUUCACAAUGUGAUUAAUAUCUAUACACAUACAUUCUCUCUGCUUGUGAGACAGAGAACAAAAAGACGCUCACUUUCACCCUGUGUAUACAACACUGUGUCGGUAGUCACAGCCAAUGUCAUUAGGCAAGAAAAAUAUUUGUAUGAAGUAUGAGAAUUGGCAGAAUUAUCACUACUCAGAUGAUAUCACACAGAAAAUACAAAGGAACCUACAGAUAGGAUAAUAAGAUACAUCAGACAAGACAUACAAGAUACCUAAAAGGAAAAUAAUAUUUGAGUGACACUAAAGAAAGAUCUCAAUUAAUGCAAGAAUUAUACCAUCUACAUAGUUUGGAAGAUUUAUAGAUAUUAUUUCUUCUUAAAUUGAUGGGAAAUAAUUCCAAUGAAACCUUCACAGGUUUUCUUAUGGAGCUUGAUGAUUCUAAAAUUUAUAUGGAAAUACAAAAGAUUAUGAAUAGUUAAAACCAUUCUUAAGUUUAGAAAAAAGUGGAAAAACUGGCUGUAUUAAAUAUAAGCUAUAAAUAUUUAAAUCAGUAUGGCAUAAAAAGACAAAUAAAACUAAUUCCAGAAACAUAUACAUAAAUAUAUAAACACUUGGUAUAUAAAAGAGCACUGUAAAGAAAAGAUUUUCAAAAUAAGGUCAUAGGAGCAAUAGAGGGAGAAGAGGAGAGAAGGUGGAGAGAGGGAGGGGAGGAGGGUGGGAGGGAAGUGAGACGGAGGGAAGGGAGAGAAGUGCAAGGGAGGCCUUAUCUCACACCAUACACAAAGCCAAUUCCAGGUGAAUUAAAGAUCUGUAUAUGUAAGAUAAAAUAACAUAAUAUCUUCAAGAACUCAGGGUAGGGAAAAUUUCUUAAGUAAGGAAAAUGAUGCAGAAAAAAACUUGAUAAACUAAUCUACAUUAAAAUCAGGAAUUUCUGUUUAUCCAAAGACUCUAAAAUGGGAGUAACAAAAGACAUACCAAAGAGUGGAGGAAGAAAUUUGCAACACAGAUAACGUAUAAAGGACUUGUAUCCAUAAUAUACAAAAAUAUCAAGCAAAAGACAGAAGAAUAGAAAAAUGAGCCAAAAGUCUUGAACACUUCACCACGAACAACUAAAUGCUCGAUAAACAUAAGAAAAGGUGCUUGAAAAUGCAAACUAAGCCACAAUGAGAUACCACUCCAUACCCAACAGACUGGUAAAAAUUUCAAGUCUAGCAAUACUCUUGGGGAAGAAGUAGAGAAAUGAAAUAUACAUCUAGUUACAGGGCCAGUGGUUAUGAAAUUUGAUACAACCACUUCUGAAAAAAUGUGGCAUUACAAUGGGCAUGACCUAUGACUCUGCAAUCUACUUCAGUGAUUACACUCUAGGGAGAAUAUCUUACAUGGCAACAGGAAUCAAGAAUUUUCACAGCUGCUCUGAAAAAAGAAAAACAAAACAAAAUUAAAAAAAUACUCAACUGAAGUGCCACUUAUAGGAGCAUGGAUUUGAAAAAAAAAAGCAUGUUCAACUGUCAGGGUAAUUCCUUUUUUUCCAUACUGUGGUGAAAAUUGAAUAAAUUACACCCACACCCAACAACAUGAUGAAUUGCAGAGACACAAUAGUGGAAAUAUAAAGCAAACUGCAAAAUAGUAAAUAAAAUGUUAUGUCUGCCUAAGUUCAAAAGCAGGCAGAGCAAAACAAUUAUUAAGAAAUGAUCAUUAUUCAGGGUGUGGGUUACCUUUGAGCAAGGAGGAAAGAUUCAGGAGAGACUAGUAAGGAUUUAUAAAGUUAUAAUAAUAAAUCAGGAGAUGGAUGUUCCUUGUAGGUGGGAUAGAAAAAAUAAAAGAUAAAAAGGAGAUGAGGAAAUCAUAACUAACAAUUGUAAUUCAUAAGAAGACUACAACUUCUAGGAGAUAGCUGAAGGCCAUAAAUUGACUCAAUUUAAAAAGUGAGUUGUAGCCUGGCAGUUUGUGUAUGUGUAGAGGCUUCAAGCCGGGUCCUAGCAAAUGGAGAUAUAGGCAGCCAGGAGGCCAAGCCAAAGAGAAAGAUUCCGUGAAGGUCAUGUCAACGACCAAGGACAGACACCUUUGCGAUCAGCAAGCAACGGCCUCAUUGGAUUGGCAAGAUUUUCAUGCCUAAAAAUAAGAUAUUCAUAUCUCUGUAAAGAGUAUCUUUGUUCUGUUUAAGGUUACAGUUAAUGGUGCUUGCUACCUACCCCAAACCCCUAUUGACCUACUUCUACAUCAAAUUUGCCUCAUUGUAACCCUAUAGGUUGAUCUCAACUUGGCUAAGAUGUACUCAUUUUGGGGUACAAAAACCCCUAGACAAAAGAGUCCCUUGGACAACCGUCUAGGGCCCCUCCUAGGUUUAUUUGUCUGGGAGCCCUUUGAUUUUGCUUUACAAUAAAUGCUGCUUUCUGAUCUUGUUCUACAAUACAUACUUUCGUUCAGUCCCCUCGACUCUUUGCCUUGUAAUUCUAUCUGGGCUGAGAAAAGAAUCCACUAGCUGGAUGGUAACACUUGUAUAUCUUCCUAAUUUAUAAAAGCUUUACACAGUAAAUAUUUAUGGCUACUCACUUUCUAAUAAAAAUAAAACAACAGCUUUCAGGAGAAAACUCCAUAUAGGUUUUUUAAAUUGAUUUUUAAAGACAGACUAGAUUUACUGUGCCUUAUUCUUUUGUUAAUAGUGCAUAUUAGUUAUAUAGAUUAAUGGGUUCCAUUUUGGCAGAUUCAGACAUGCAUACAUAAGGCUUCUCAAAGCUAAGGAAGCAAACAGCCAAGAGACAGCCUACCGAAUGGGAGAAAAUCUUUGCUUGCUGCUCUUCUGAGGAUUAAUUUUCAGCAUAAAGAACUAAAACAGAAACAUAAAAACUCCUAGUAAAUGAGCAAACGAACUGACUUCUCAAAAGAAGUACAAAUGGCUGUACAUACAUGAAAAAACAAUAUUCAAUUCCAUAUUGCUUUUUAAAUAGAUGGUGAAAAGGCACUUGACAAAAAUCAGCCCGUCUCCAGGGGACAUAACCCCCAUCUCAUUAUACUUAGUGCUGCCCCCGGGGUUGGUCGGACUCAGGACAGCAGCUACACACGAGUUCAGAGGGCCAAGACACGGGUAAGGAAACUUCCUUAACACUUUCAAGGCCAUUUACCAAAACCAACAGCCAAACGUCCUGCUCAGCCCUCCCAUGUAGAUCUUAUCCACAUCAGAAACAAGACCCAGAGUGAUUCAACAUUGUUUCAGAGCUGAUCAGUAAAACUAAACGUUUUUUUUUUUUUUUUCCUUCACCGUCUUCACCAGUAAAACUAAAUGGCAAUUAACUUGUUACACUGGCAAAUUUAUAAAUUGUAUUUACAAAAAACCCAAACAAACAGGUUUAGUUUUAGAAUUACCCAGAGUCUGUAACAGCUCUUUUCCAUAUUAAUAAUGAGCACUAGGAAAAAAAAAAUCCCAUCACAACAGCAACAAAACCCACAAAAACCUGAGUAAAAUUUUAUAACCAGAAAGUUAUAAAAAGCUGAAUGAGACAAAUAUCUUGUUGGCCCAGAAAGUUAUAGAACCCAUGUAAAGAAACUAUAAAAUCUUAUUGGAGGAUCAAAACAAGUCUUGAACAAGUGGAAAACCAUUUCAUAUCCUCUGGGAAGAUUUAAUAUCAUAAAAUGUCAACAUUCUCAGGACAUUUACAUUUAAUACGAUUAUAAUUUAAGUCCCAAUGAAACUUUUUUUAAAAGACUGGUAUAGAAGAAAAUUGCGGACCAGGCACGCAGCUCGGCGGCACAGCGCGAGGCCCUGCGUUUGAUUCCCGGUACCAAAAAAAAAAAAAAAAAAAAAAAAAGAAUUGCAUCAAGCAAUUUAAAAUUCCACGAGAGCAUACGAAUAGCCUGAAAUUUUCUUUUAAAAGUUAUCCCUCUAGAUACUGAGGAUUGCCAAGAUUAAUUUCAGCUACAUCUUCAAGCCUCGCAUCGCACUCACCUGUGCAAGUAAAGACAGGCGUCUCCACUGUCCUAAAAGGCGUCUCCAACCCCACUGACACCAAAACCAAGCAAAUACAAAUAGCCCAAAUGGUUCAUAUAGGAGGAGCUAUCAUAAGUGAAUUUCCACCCCGGGGCGGGGGGACGACAAAGUUUGAUUCUUGCUUGUGAUUUAGACGGAAAAACUUAACGCUGCAGCAGAAGCGUUGGUGGAAAGGGGUGUGGAUUUUCCUCAGCAUGACAGAAAACACACAAACCUAAAAACGCUUACCUUUCAACACACAUCGCAAACCAAGCCAAGGGCAAACCUGCAGAAAAUAAGGGCCGUGAAAACCCGAGCGCUCUCAGGUCAGGCGCUGAGAGAGGCGGACAGGCUGGCGCGCAGCCCUUUAAGGCAAAAGGGAAAACAAGCAGCCUCUUUCCAAGUCCUCGCCUUGCAGAAAUAAAGACGCCCAGCCAGAAACGCAUCUAUACCAAACAAAAAAUCUCUAGUAACCUCUCAAAAAGUUGGAAAACAAUUGAGGAUGAAGGUUUCAUCUCCACCCUGGAGUCGAAUAUGCAGCUCUGAAGUAGGGAGAGGUCCUCGGGGCUCCUGAGAUAACGGUCUGAUGACUGGAGCCCCGCGAGACCCCGUGUCCGCACGUGCGCAAGAGCCGCAAGCUUCCACAGCGCAUGCGCAGGGCGCGGCUGAGGCGUGGGGGCGCUUAGCAACAAUUGCCCAUGCGCCUUUGGGCCCCGCUUAAGAGUCUGGGGUGCCAAGGGCGUUAUCCGGAAAGCUGCCGUUGGCCAGUGCGCGGAUAGAGCUGACGUCGGCCACUCGCAAAACCUCAAGAGUGCUGUAGUGCUAGCCUCGUCUGAGUCAGCCAGCCAGACUUCGGACUAAAACCUCCACGAACUAAACAUCUGACAUAAACCCAACUCUCUAGGCUGUUUUCACUAAAGAGAACCAGUUGAUGCUAAAUCCAACUUUUGCCCAUUCGAAGAGAACUUCCUGUACUCCUAUUAAGUAUUGGAAAUAAUAUGCUGACUGUGAGUCACUGAAGUUGCAUCUAGAGAAAUUUUGAUUCAAUAACUAAAAUAAGAGUCUUCUGGAUUAGCAACAAAUAUUUCACUGAUCUCAUUUCUUCAGUACAGAGCUCAAGACUGGUAUCCAGUGAUAUCCCAAAGAAUGAAAAAGUAAAAUUUUCUGGGGAAAGGAUUGCCAUAUUAAUAUCAAGGCCUGAGUUAUUGGUGAUCUCAUUAGCACCUG